ACCAUCAUAAAAAUAAUUACAAAAUGUACCCCAUUUUUUUUUUGAAAAAUUUAUUAAAUAGAUUUUGAUCCCUUUAACUUUUGUUAUUUACACUUUUUCCCUUUAUCUUUUAGUUUCAGAUUCAAAGAAGAAGAGAGGUCUGCUAGGGUUUAUAGAUUCAAUUUCAAUCAACGACAUUUACUCAUCUUCUUCCUCUGCUGUAUCUCUGGUUCGCCUAUUCUUGCCGCCACAACACGCAUCAGACGCCGCCGCUCCCUGCGUCUGCCGCCACUCCUCACAGACUCGGAGGAACGAACUAUCAGUAUCACCACCCUGUUAAAUUUCGCAGAGAAAGAAUGAGAACCAGAGCGACCCUUGAUGACACUGAAAUAGGACAACUUUUCUCAACCCUACUUCUUGUUGAGGACGACAAACCCAGCAAGGAAGUAGAGGAAAGUGUAAAAGUGCUAAAAGAUGCAGCUAAGACGAGAAAGGUAGCAGCAGAGAAGGUUCUGUCUGCACUUUUUGUCAUUGAGAAAGCGAAAAUUGAUCCUUCUGGCUUUCUUGAAACCCUGGGUGGCAAUGAAUCCCCUGGGAGGACAUGAAUGCUAAUUUUCACCGCUGAGGUGAACAUAUUUGUAUUACUUUUUUGUUUGCUCGUUCUUUGGCUAGUAGUUUGAUCAUGGCCUUGACAUUUGUUUUCAGUCUAUGGAGUAUGUAGUGAUAAAAUUAUGAUUCUUCCUCAGCUUAA